ACUUAGCGGCGGACGGGUGAGUAACGCGUGGGCAACCUGCCUUACACAGGGGGAUAACAAUUAGAAAUGAUUGCUAAUACCGCAUAAGACCCCAGUACCGCAUGGUACAGGAGUUAAAAACUGAGGUGGUGUAAGAUGGGCCCGCGUCUGAUUAGGUAGUUGGUGGGGUAGAAGCCUACCAAGCCGACGAUCAGUAGCCGACCUGAGAGGGCGACCGGCCACAUUGGGACUGAGACACGGCCCAAACUCCUACGGGAGGCAGCAG
rnacentral:rRNA from 1 species